UUGCAGAGAAUGGAUCGAUAUUUCUCAAUCAUAAGUAUCAACAGCCCGAACCCUUCAUGCAGAGCUUGUGCUCUGCUGUUCCAUGUCUGGUGGGAAUGAAAUUUCCUGCAAUUAUUGGGAACGGACCUGCCAAAACUUUUUAAUAUGGACCUGCUGCAAGGAGUAGGAGAAGAAGAUAGGGACGAGAAAGACGUUUCAGGUUUGAGAUUAACCGAAUGCUCGUAUGAGUCUGACUUAAUUCUGCGGAGACUAAGAUAUCUAAUUACAUUAUUGUAUCCAGUGCAUUGAAAAUAAUUUAAGCUAUGAAUCAAUGAAAUCUUCUUAUGUUGGCCUCUUCUAACUGUUACUAUGCUUCGUGUUUGACCUCUCAAUGAAGUCCAACCUUGUGUUGGUUUGUAUGCAGUGGUGAGAGCCUCCAGUAGAGCUUCACCAACUAGUUGCAGACCUCUGCAUUUGCUGAGAUGAUUACUCACUUUACUGGUAUGGGCGGAAGCAGUUGAGAAUGAGGAGAAAAACAAGUGGAGGAGAAGGAAGGGCAAAGCAUACAUCUCUUCCAAAAUUUCAAUCAAUCACAGAAAUCUCUUCUCAUGUUCAUCGCUUGUAUUCUUUCUCAUGGAAAGUGUUGCCUGAUCAAGCUAACCAUGACACAUGGGUUAUGGCUUUAGACCAUUUGUGUAUUAGCUUCAUUUUGACAAAAAUCCUGGUUAUCAGUUAUCCUUGACUCUGGACAUUAAUUGGAAUGCCCUACAAACUUUUGACUGUUCAUCGAUUAAUUGUUGCGUGUCAAAGUACGGAUUUAAUCAAACGUUUCAAAAUUAUGCAAACAAUUGGUACACGUAUUAUGAGAAAGACUUGGUAAGAAGAAACUUAUUAAAAGCAAAAUUGACGAAGAAGAAAUGGAAGAAUGCUUGGAUCAUUAAUUCUUAUGUUGACCAUCCAACAAUUUAUUUUGGUGAUUUGAUUACUUAGGUAUGAUCUUGGUAUUUUCAAUUUAAUGUGGUAAAAUGUCAUGAAUAGCAAGUGCCACGUCAGCAUUUUCUUAUGUUAAGAAAUGUCAUGUUAGUACAAAAUAUUACGUGAACAUGGAGAAAUUUUAAUGAUAUUAAAAAUUAAUAAAUUAAAAGAGUAUAAAAAUUUAAUUUAUAUAUUAUUGUACAGGAUUGAACUCACAAUUUGUUUUUAUAAAGAAUAGUCACUAAUUGUUUAAUUUAAUGAAAAGAAAUUGAUAAACAAAAUGGCAUGUAAAUGUAAUUUUGGAGGAACAAAAAUUAUCCUUUAUUUAUUUCGAAGCGAAAAACUUUAGCCGGGUCGAGCUAAGUUGUGCAAGGAUGCAGACCGGUUUAAACGACACCGAACUAAGCUCCGAAGUCCGAAGUACCCAAGCUGCGUAACAACUGGAGACGCACGACUCUUGUGUUCUGCCCUUCACUCAUCUAAUGCUGCGUGCUGGUAGACAUGGAGGUCGCGAUCUGUUCUCAAAUCUCCUCAAAAUCUCAUCUUGCUCUGAGUGCUUUCUUCACGUUUCUCCAUUUUGUUCAACGCCAAAAACCGUCACCAACUAUCGCUCAUCACUUACCCAGCAAUUGCCUCAAGUUUCAGCUUCAAAAGCUGUAAGUUCUUCUGCUGCCUGUUCCAUUGCUUCUUUGCUCGCUGCUCCGACCGUCCAAUGUACAGAUUUUGAUGACUUGUUAAAGGAUUAUAAGGACAAGUUAAAUUCAAAACUUGUGCUUCAUAUUCUGAUGAAUUAUAAGCAGUUAGGUAGAGUUAAAACCUUGGAGUUCUUCUCUUGGGCUGGAACCCAAACGGGUUUCCAGUUUGAUGACUGUGUCAUUGAGUACAUGGCUGAUUUCUUGGGUAGGAGAAAGCUGUUUGAUGAUAUCAAGUGUCUCCUGCUCACUAUCUUGUCUCAUAAGGGAGAGCUUUCAUGCCGGGUUUUUUCAACUUGUAUUAGGUUUUUGGGUAGGCAGGGGAGGGUUGCAGAAGCCCUUUCUCUGUUUCAAGAAAUGGAAACUACAUUUAGGUGUAAACCUGAUAAUAUUGUCUGUAACAAUAUUCUCUACGUGCUUUGCAAGAAGGAGGCAUCUGGGGAACUGAUUGAUGUUGCCCUCACUAUUUUUCACAGGAUUGAUGUUCCCGAUAGCUAUUCAUAUAGUAAUAUUCUUGUUGGUUUAUGUAAAUUUGGUAGGCUUGAGACUGCCCUCCAGGUUUUUCACGAAAUGCAUAGAGCCGGUUUGGUCCCAACCAGGUCCGCAGUGAAUGUACUUAUUGGGCAUUUGUGUUUGUUAAGUGCUAAGGAAGGAGCAAUUGAGAAAGUUAGAGUGAAAAAUGUUUCUAGACCAUUUACAAUUUUAGUUCCAAAUGUGAGCUCAAAGAAGGGUGCUAUAGAGCCUGCAGUUUCUGUGUUUUGGAAAGCUCAUGAUUCGGGUUUGUUACCUAGUGCUUUUGUUAUAGUUCAGCUUCUGUCAGAGCUAUGUAGAUUGGAGAAGAUGGAAGAAGCAUAUGAGAUUCUAAAGGUUGUUGAGCAGAGAAAGAUGAGUUGCUUGGAAGAGGGCUAUUCUGUUCUUGUGCAAGCUUUCUGUGAACAUAAUUUGGUUGAGAAAGCUAGCUUUUUGUUUUGGAAAACACUAUCCCUUGGCAUGAAGCCAAAGUUGGUUGUUUAUAACUCCAUAAUUUGCAUGCUAUGCAAAGCAGGAAUUUUGGAUGAUGCUGAAAGGGUGUUCAAGAUUAUGCACAAAAAGAGAUGUCUUCCUGAUAAUGUAACCUAUAAUGCUUUAGUCCAUGCUUAUUGUGAAGCAAGGAAGUGGAAAGCUGCUUACAGUUUGUUGACAGAAAUGUUGGGCCUGGGUUUGACUCCAAAUUUUCACACAUUUACUUUGGUGGACAAACUUUCGAGGGAAAAUGGGCAGGUGGAUUUGUGUUUCAAAUUGGAAGGUAAAUUGGAAACACAGAUCUUGCUCAAGCACUGUAAACUUGGUCAAUUGGAAGCUGCUUAUCAGAAACUGGACUCGAUGAUUGGAAAAGGUUUCCACCCACCAGUGUAUGUAUGUGAUGCUUUCCAACAGGCAUUUCAAAAGUAUGGUAAGUUGAAAAUAGCUCAUGCAUUGCUUGACAAGAUGGAUAAAGGUUGCAAGCGUGAUGAGGAGAGAAAAAACUAAACGUUCUUAGUAAGCUAUCAGCAGGCAGUUCCGUCUUACCUUGCCAAGGGUCGGAGGGGAAAUUCGGGGCAAACCUGACAUGCUGCAAAGAAUAACAAGAACUUCUAGAUGGAACUGCUCAAAUUAAAAUGGAGUCAAGUAGAAUCAUUGCAUGGUUCUUGAAACAUCAAGAGGAUGCCUUUCUUGCACUGUUUGAAGCUAUGUUGGAUUUGAUCAAGUUCUAUGCUAAUUGCUGGCCUGUUUCUGCACUUCGCAAUUUAUGGACAACCGUUGGUUGUUAUUUAUUGCUGUCCAUGACAUUAUCAUGUGCGACUUUGUUUUGGAAGAGAUAGAAACAAGGGAGCAAGUUCGGUUGAACCACCGCAAGUUGGUUUGUUUAGACGUUCUGAGCAAAACAGAUAUGAUCUUUCGGACUGGUAGACAUAUUGCUGCAUCAUAAAUGAUCUGAGCAAAACAGAUAUGAUCUUUCUGUAUAACCAACUUCUUGAAGAUGAAGUGCCUGUUAGAGACCUUAGAGAACCAAUAACUCUUCAUCAGAUAAACAUGUUUGGGCUGUCUGUUUUGCAGAAAAUAGAAAGUUUUUUCUGUUACCGAAUUUAAUAUUGAAAAAGUGUAUUAGAGAAAGAAUUUGACUUGCCAGAAGUUGUAACCUUUUAAUCUUUGCUUAUACUAUUUACUUGGAAUAAUUAUUGCUUAAUCUUGAU